ensembl:lincRNA Gm6117 predicted gene 6117
GGUCUCACACGGGAUAGGCAAUCACUUGACUACUGACUGUGUCCCCAGCCAUUUGGUUUUUUGUUUUGUUUUGUUGUUGUUGGUGGUGUUUUGCUUGUUUGUUUGUUUGUUUGUUUGAGGCAGGGUCUUUUUAAGUUAUCUUUGCUACAGCCUAAUUUGCAGCUUCAACCUACCAAUUUGUGCCCAGGAACGAGGACCAGGACUGAGGAUGCCCUCUUUCUGCACAAUGCCUGCACAUGCAGAGUCUCUGCAUUUUGACACCCACAAGCUCCGCAGCUUCCCUCUCCUACUGUGACUCAUCAGCAUUCUCCUUUCCAGUGUUUUGGAGUGGGUGUUGAUGGAGGGGAACGUGGAUUUCCAGAUAGCAUCUCAUGCAGCCCAGCCUGGUCUUGAACUCAUUGUGAAGCCAAGGAAGGCCAUGAACUCCUGAUUUCCUCUUCUACCUUCCAAGUGUGGAGAUUACAGACACACACACCUUUAAUUACAGAACUUGGGAGACAGAUUCGAGUGGAUCUCUGUGAGUUCAAGGCCAGCUUGGUCUGUAUUGCAAGUUCCCAGGCCAAGUAGGGCUACAUAAUGAGAUCCUGGCAAAAAGAAAAGAAAAGUAAGAAGGAAGAGGAGGAGAAGAAGAAAAAGAAGAAGGAAAAAGAAAAGGAGGAGAUGGGGAUAAAGGAGAAGAAGGAGAAGAAGAAGGAGGAGAAAGAAGAGGAGGAGGAAGAGGAAGAAGAGGAGGAGGAGGAGGAGGAGGAGGAAGAAGAAGAAGAAGAAGAAGAAGAAGAAGAAGAAGAAGAAGAAGAAGAAGAAGAAGAAGAAAGCAAGAGCAAGCUCCCUCCACUGCUUUGUGUUUUAAGAGAGAAUGACUGUUCAGUGUCCCUGGAAACUCACCAGAAAGCGAAUCAUUGUGAAGCAGCUCAUGUCUUCUCCAUAAAAAUAACGCUGCCUGCUGUUGAGACUGCCUUCUAGAGGAAGAAUUGGCAUGAGAAGCCAGGCGUGACUGGCGAUGGCACAGGAGCAAAGAACUAUAAACCUUUAUCGUCACUUCAUAUAAUAAACGUAUAAUAUAAUAAACUUAAUAUAAUAAACGUGCGCUCUGAUACCUUUUCAAAUGCCCAGAAAUGGAGAGCGCACCCUGAUUACACAGAAGGCCAUAAAAUGAACAUGCUGCACAUAAAAAAAUUAUACCGUUGUAUAAAUUUUCCUGAAGACUGAUGUAUUAUUUAUGAUAAGCAUUAAUUAAAAGAUUAAUUGCUAAUGUUCUCUGCCCUUGUAGAAGUUAGCAGAAAAAUUAAAGUAGCUUAAAUAUAUUUGGAGAUAA